UGUCUUCAGGGCAGGGUGCAAUUCCCGACCGGCGGUAUAGUCCGCGCGCGCCGAUGGCGCAUGAACCGGUGCAACUCCGGUACCGACCGUAACAGUCCGGAUGAAAGAAGGC
rnacentral:ncRNA from 1 species